rnacentral:rRNA from 1 species
AGUGAACGCUGGCGGUAGGCCUAACACAUGCAAGUCGAACGGCAGCACAGUAAGAGCUUGCUCUUACGGGUGGCGAGUGGCGGACGGGUGAGGAAUACAUCGGAAUCUACUUUUUCGUGGGGGAUAACGUAGGGAAACUUACGCUAAUACCGCAUACGACCUACGGGUGAAAGCAGGGGAUCUUCGGACCUUGCGCGAUUGAAUGAGCCGAUGUCGGAUUAGCUAGUUGGCGGGGUAAAGGCCCACCAAGGCGACGAUCCGUAGCUGGUCUGAGAGGAUGAUCAGCCACACUGGAACUGAGACACGGUCCAGACUCCUACGGGAGGCAGCAGUGGGGAAUAUUGGACAAUGGGCGCAAGCCUGACCCAGCCAUACCGCGUGGGUGAAGAAGGCCUUCGGGUUGUAAAGCCCUUUUGUUGGGAAAGAAAAGCAGCAGGUUAAUACCCCGCUGUUCUGACGGUACCCAAAGAAUAAGCAACGGCUAACUUCGUG